GGUCGGCUAUAUGGAUUCUUUUUCGCCAUUGUCUUGACACUACUAUGCAUGAUUAGUGUCAAGGCAAUGGCGAAAAAGAAUAUUCAUGAUUAGUGUCUGAUACAUUAUUGGUAUACGUAAAGAAUAACGCAAUUGAGUACUAAUCCCUUUCUAGUUAGAGUCUGCUAAAUAGAUCCUUUUUUUUUUUUCAUUCCACUUAGACGUACUUCAAAGGAUCAUAAAAUUAAGGAAACAAAAAUUUACUGGGCCUGUUGAAUUUACUCAUGAUUAAUGCUUUGAGAGCUAGAGUGUAACAUUUUGACUGUUCAUAGUUAACUUUGAAGCCAUGUGGUUUUACACUAUGUAUUUCCAAGAUUCUAAGUUUAUCAUUUACCUUCAAGUCUUUGUUCUGUUAUUUAUCUCAUUUAUUAUUAGAAGCUCUUGCAUGAUAGUUCUUGUUCUGUACAACUAUUUUUUACAGUUCAUGUUAUGCAUGGAAGUGUCAAGUUGUUGCUCUAAUGGUCUAAAUGGCAUUGCUUCUGAAAAGCAUUUGAAGCACCAUUGUAGAUGCUUUUCCAAAAAGCAUCGUUUAAUUGUUUUUGAGCUGUUCAAGAUUUUUUUAUGGCCAUUCCAAAAAUACCUUAAAAAGCAUAUUUUAAUUGCUUUCAGUCAGCAUAUUUUAGAGGGUGUUUUUCUCAACAACACUAUCAAAUAGACGAUAAGAGAAUUCUACGAUUCUAGUUCUAUUCAAUUUUGGUAUAAAACUUUUCAAGGUCAUAGAAAUUCUGAGACUGUAGUUUUAGCUUUUACUCAUUUAUAUGCUUCCAGGGUUCUUUUUUUAUGAUAACACCUUCUGCUUCACUUCUGGACCUCUUAUUUUCAGGGUAUUGGAUUUCUAAAUG
rnacentral:misc_RNA from 1 species